rnacentral:lncRNA from 9 species
UUCAGCUGUUAAAAACAAGUCAGUGCCUUUUCACACAGCCCAAUAAUCCAGCUGCCAGCUCUCCGGGAAAACACGCCGUUCCAGUCCUCUUGACGUGUGUGACCUCAGUUGGGAAGAUGUAUGUUGAUGUCCCCUUCUAUACUCAACACCGCGCGGUGGAAGAAGACGGCUCUGCGGAGGGCUGCCUUCAAAGAGCAGAGCAGAGGCGAGAGCACACGUAUGGUGGGAGACCACGAAAUAAAGCCAUUCCGGGAUGGUGUGAUGGAUGCUUUACCGAACCUAAAAGGAGACGAAGGAGUCCUUCUGGAUGAGGUUCAGCUGAGAUCCCAGUGGAUGCCAUGUUCCAAAGCGGAGCCUGAGGCCCCACACAGGAGGUGGUGGAGAUCAAAGCUGUUUUUCGGUAAACAGCGAGGACCUACCAUAUAACACAGGGACCUACAUUCAAUAUCUCGUACCUAUAAUGGAAAAGAAUCGGAAAAGGAAUAUAUAUGUAUGUAUAUAUAUAUGUAUUUAUAUUUAUAUAUGACUGAACCAUCUUGCUAUACACCUGAAACUAACACAACAUUGUAAAUCAACUAUACUUCAAUUAAAAACAUGAAAAAUAAAAGUAACAAACCCAUUGCAUAUUACCAUCAAUGACAUUUUUUUUUCUUUUUAGGGCUACAUCUGUGGCAUAUGGAAGUUGCCAGGCUAGGGGUUGAAUCAGAGCUGCAGUUCCCAGCCUGCGCCACAGUCACGGCAACCCCAGAUCUGAGCCAUGGCCAGAAUUUCUGCAUUGUCACAAAUGCAGAAAACAUCGCAGCUCACGGCAAUGCUGGAUCCUUAACCCACUGAGCGAGGCCAGGGAUCAAGCCUGCAUCCUCAUGGAUACUAGUUGGGUUCUUAACCCAUUGAGCCACAGCAGGACCUCCUCAGUGGCAUAUUCUUAUUGGAGAAUAUCUAUACUUUCAAAAAAUAGUGAGAAUAUUGGCAUUAUUUUCCAUUUUUGCAAAUCUCUUGAAUGCCCUCCUUAAAAAAGGCACUGGCUUUUCAUUUCUACUUAUACAUUGACUCUUUCGUAAUAUAUUAUUUUGAUUGAAAUAUAUGAAGAAAAAUCUGGCUGAACACAAGUGCGUCGCUGGAAAAAGGAUCUGAUGGGCGCCUGAAAGAGCCUCGGGGACCCUAGGUUUUCAGACCACAUUUUGAGAGUGACUGAUACAGAUGGAAGAGCUAAAAAUACCUUGUUCUCAUAAAAAGUAGAUGAGAAUGGAAUGAAUGUUUAUACCAGUUAGGCAUCUAAAGCACUGCUUAUAGAUGGUCCCAUUAUCAAGUAUUAUUUUGGAUUUUCUAUCAGCUAACAAUUAAAUCAAGUCCUUCAAUUUUAUUGUAAAUAAACAAUUUGAAAUCUCACACACUCACGACAGCAGCUGUUCUAUUAACUCCUCGCACACACUGAGGUUACAGAAAAGUCGGCCUGGAGGUGAAGAGAUGUAGGGGGGAGGGGGUUGUUGAUGUGCCGUGUGUCCCCCUCCCACCCCCAAGGGGUGAUGGGCAGAUACAUGCUGUGGGGGAGGGGAGACGAAGCCCCCAUCUGCCCAAGCAGGUGCCUGACCUGUUGUAGGCAUGGUCUGGCCUGGAGGAGUAUUUUUAAAUGAAGUGAUACAUUUUGGUAACAUCACUACACUGGACCUGGUCCUUCCCCACUGGUGCCAACUCCUUUGUUGCUUGAAAGUGACCACAAUGGUGAUGGGCCAUGAUCUGAAUUCCAUCCUGGGGCGGGCAAGUUUCAGCCUACCAGAUUAAGUUGAAGAGACAGUGGAACCCCAAAUAAAAUUCACUGAUUAUCAUAUCCAUCAGCUGUGCUUCUUCAGUGUAGUGCUUAAACAUCCCUCCAUUUUUUUUUUUUUUCCCCUGUAAAGGGUCAUAGCUUUAUACAGGCACCAAGGGGCCCGGGAUGCAGAGAGGUUCUAACUGCUGCUGCAGACAACGGGAGGCCAUGGUGUCGUGUUGUGGGUCAUGAUGAGAGCAGCUUUGGCAUUUCCGUGGCUGCCUUUGGUGGCAGGGUGGCCUCUCUGAUGGGGUGGCCUCAAGUCUGGAGGCAGCAAGGUGAGAAAGGAGGCUUCUGCAAGAGCGGCGCGCUUGCGUCUGGGCUGUAGAGCUCUGGGCAGAUUCAGGAGUUAUCCAGACAUGGGAUCAGUGGGGACAGAGGCUGUGCAGAUGCUGAGCGGGAA